AACGAACGCUGGCGGCGUGCCUAACACAUGCAAGUCGAGCGGGAAAGUUCCCUUCGGGGAGCAAGUACAGCGGCGAACGGGUGAGUAACACGUAGGUAACCUACCUUGGAGAUCGGGAUAACCUGCCGAAAGGCGGGCUAAUACCGGAUAAGACCACGAGGGCUGCGGCCCUUGAGGAAAAAGAUGGCCUCUGCUUGCAAGCUAUCACUCUGGGAUGGGCCUGCGCGCCAUUAGCUAGUUGGUGAGGUAACGGCUCACCAAGGCUGAGAUGGCUAGCUGGUCUGAGAGGAUGGCCAGCCACACUGGGACUGAGACACGGCCCAGACUCCUACGGGAGGCAGCAGUGGGAAUAUUGCGCAAUGGGCGAAAGCCUGACGCAGCGACGCCGCGU
rnacentral:rRNA from 1 species